ensembl:lncRNA
UUUUUUUUGUCUUUUUGCCUUUUCUUGGGCCGCUCCCGAGGCAUAUGGAGGUUCCCAGGCUAGGGGUUGAAUCAGAGCUGUAGCCACUGGCCUACACCACAGCCACAGCAACACCGGAUCCAAGCUGCGUCUGUGACCUACACCACAGCUCACAGCAACGCCGGAUCCUUAACCCACGGAGCAAGGCCAGGGAUCGAACCUGCAACCUCAUGGUUCCUAGUCGGAUUCAUUAACCACUGUGCCAGGACAGGAACUCCCUGAUUGAGGUCUAUUUAACCAUCCUGGAUGAUCUUCCCUGACUUUUAUUCCCAGAACUCACCACAGACUCUACAUAUGACCUAGUCAGUGAGGAGUAUAGGAUACCUUGUUAUAAGCAAGUUUGUACAUAUAUUUGUAGUAAUAGAAAGCAGUUAUGUUUACGAGGUGAAAGGCAUUAUGUUAAGCACAUUACAUGUGUUAUCUUCUGUAAUCCUCAUAACCACCCUUCUAAUUAAGAGACAGACUUAUCCUCUCUUUGCAGGUAAGAAAACUGUGGCUGAGGAGUUCCCAUGUGGCGCAUCCAGUUCAGGAUCCAGCAUUGUCACUGCAGGGGCUCAAGUCACUGCUGUGGUGUGGAUUUGAUCCCUGGCUUAGGCUGUGGGUGUCUCCUAAGAAAACUGUGGCUGAGAGAGGUGGCAUAACUUGCUUAAGACCAUCCAGUUAUAGGUGGCAGAGAACUUGAACCCAGGUCAGACAGGCUCUUUUACAGUGUGCUCUCCCGGGGCUUCUCCCCCCAAGUUUAUUAGAGGCACUCACUGCCUAGGGGGCUACAGGCAGCCCACAGUGAGCUAUAUGAUCGUAUUGUCAACUGAUUUUGCUCAGGGUGACUUGGCUGCAAAAGUCUUUGGAUCUGACUGAGCUGCUCCCACAUGGCUGUUUUCUUUUUUGGGUUCACACCCUCUGUCACAUCCUUUCCACUAAGCUUAGCUCUUGUAUUAAUCUCCAAAGGCUGCUGUAACAAAUGAUCACAAACUUAGUGCACUUAAGACAAUACAAACUUAUUAUUCUACAGUUCUGGAAGUCAGGUGUCUAAAAUGGGCCUUACAGGGCUGUGAUGAAGGAGUCGGCAGAGAUGCAUUUCUUCCGGAGGAUCUGUUCCUUGCCUUUCCCUUUUCUAAAGGCUGCCUGCAUUCCUUGGCUUGUGGCCACAUCACUCCAUCUUCUUCUGUCAUCAUGUCUCCUGCUCUGACCAUGACCCUUCUGUCUCCCUCUUAUAAGAGCCCUCUGAGGAGUUCCCUGGUGGUGCAGCAGGUUCAGUUUGUUUGUUUGCUUUUUAGGGCUGCACCUGCAGCAUAUAGGCUAGGGGUCAAACUGGAGCUGCAGCUGCCAGCCUAGGCCACAGCCACAGCAAUGCGGGAUCUGAGUCUCAUCUGCCACCUACAUUGCAGCGCACAGCAAUGCUGGAAGGAUCCUUAACCCACUGAGUGAGGACAAGGAUCGAACCCACGUCCUCAUGGGUCCUAGUCUGGUUUGUUACUGCUGAGCCACGACAGGUCAACUCCUGUGACACAGGUUUGAUCCCUGGCCCUGGAACUUCUGCAUGCCUCGGGUGUGGCCAAAAAGAAAGAAUCCUGUGAAAUUAUCACAGCAUUUUUAAUCAAUUAUAAUUCAAG